rfam:Triticum aestivum genome assembly, contig: Triticum_aestivum_CS42_TGACv1_scaffold_307744_4AS
AAAGUACUCCCUUCGUUCGAAAAUACUUGUCUUCAAAAUGAAUAAAAGGGGAUGUAUCUAGAUAUAUUUUAGUUUUAGAUACAUCAUUUUUUAUCCAUUUUAAUGACAGGUAUUUUCGGACGGCGUGUGCACCGC